AGCAGGUCGGAUGACUGCGGUGAAAAUACGAGGAAAGUCCGAGCUUCACAGAGCAGGGUGCCGGAUAACGUCCGGUGGAGGCGACUCUAAGGAAAGUGCAACAGAGAUAUACCGCCGCUUUAUGCGGUAAGGGUGGAAAGGCGGGGUAAGAGCCCACCGUUCGCCUUGGCGACUCGGCGAACCUGUAAACCCCACUCGAAGCAAGAUUGAUAUGGGAGUGUUAACGGCUGCUCGUCGGCUCCCUGUAAUCGCUUAAAUUCAUCGGCAACGGUGAAGAUAGAUAGAUAGUCAUCUAAAACAGAACUCGGCUUACAGACCUACUCAU
rnacentral:RNase_P_RNA from 1 species